CGAGCCAUGCGGGCUCGGCGAGCUGUUCCAGGACGCGGCGAGCCACAUCGAGGACCUGCAGAUGCAGGUGAAACUCAUGCGGAUGCUGCUCGAGAAGCUCUCCGAGGACUGAUCGAAGAGAUAACCAAUCCGGCGUCGCCGCGUCAGCGCUGUGUUGGCUUACACGACAUUGCAUGCAUACGCGGGUCGUGAUUAGUUCUGUCCAUGCAUGAAUCGACCGGCCGGCAGGAAAACAAACUCGUAUAUAUAGUACAACCCAAUUCAUCCAGAUAUACCAGAUUAUUUCAGAGUGCGAAAAUUACUUUUAUUUGUUGGUGAUGCUGUAUUGUUGUUUGAUUCAUUUAUGCAUUUUUCUUCUCUCGAACAAUGUAUAUGUGUGUUCAUUAUUUAAUUGCAUUAUAUUGUGGUGGUGGAAGUACUAUAAAACACGAA
rnacentral:lncRNA from 1 species